AUGGACGUAAUCCUGGAAAUAGAAGUUCUUCUCGAUGAAGCUCGCGAGCCAGCGGGACGCGGCGAAGCACAGCACGGCCAAGGACACGACGGCGGCUCUCUGCACGACCGACGUCACCAGCGUCCCCUUGGCGACGGCGAGGAACCCGACGACCGCCACCGAAGCGACCUGCAGGGCGACCUCCAGCGCCUUCAUGGUCUUCAGCGCGGCGCUGCAGCUCCUGCACUGCGCAACGUGCGACCAGUACCUGUGGACGCCAUCGCAAAAUUCGUUCAGAUGGGGUUCACUGAAUCCUCAGGUAUUCAGGUUUGGCAUGGAGAAGAGUUAGAAUGUUGCAUUAUUUGUACCUCUCCAUGA
rnacentral:rRNA from 1 species